rnacentral:rRNA from 1 species
UGACGAGUGCUACCAUGCAGUCGACGGUGAACACGGAGCUUGCUCUGUGGGAUCAGUGGCGAACGGGUGAGUAACACGUGAGCAACCUGCCCCUGACUCUGGGAUAAGCGCUGGAAACGGCGUCUAAUACUGGAUAUGUGACGUGACCGCAUGGUCUGCGUUUGGAAAGAUUUUUCGGUUGGGGAUGGGCUCGCGGCCUAUCAGCUUGUUGGUGAGGUAAUGGCUCACCAAGGCGUCGACGGGUAGCCGGCCUGAGAGGGUGACCGGCCACACUGGGACUGAGACACGGCCCAGACUCCUACGGGAGGCAGCAGUGGGGAAUAUUGCACAAUGGGCGAAAGCCUGAUGCAGCAACGCCGCGUGAGGGAUGACGGCCUUCGGGUUGUAAACCUCUUUUAGCAGGGAAGAAGCGAAAGUGACGGUACCUGCAGAAAAAGCGCCGGCUAACUACGUGCCAGCAGCCGCGGUAAUACGUAGGGCGCAAGCGUUAUCCGGAAUUAUUGGGCGUAAAGAGCUCGUAGGCGGUUUGUCGCGUCUGCUGUGAAAUCCCGAGGCUCAACCUCGGGCCUGCAGUGGGUACGGGCAGACUAGAGUGCGGUAGGGGAGAUUGGAAUUCCUGGUGUAGCGGUGGAAUGCGCAGAUAUCAGGAGGAACACCGAUGGCGAAGGCAGAUCUCUGGGCCGUAACUGACGCUGAGGAGCGAAAGGGUGGGGAGCAAACAGGCUUAGAUACCCUGGUAGUCCACCCCGUAACGUUGGGAACUAGUUGUGGGGUCCAUUCCACGGAUUCCGUGACGCAGCUAACGCAUUAAGUUCCCCGCCUGGGGAGUACGGCCGCAAGGCUAAAACUCAAAGGAAUUGACGGGGACCCGCACAAGCGGCGGAGCAUGCGGAUUAAUUCGAUGCAACGCGAAGAACCUUACCAAAGGCUUGACAUAUACGAGAACGGGCCAGAAAUGGUCAACUCUUUGGACACUCGUAAACAGGUGGUGCAUGGGUUGUCGUCAGCUCGUGUCGUGAGAUGUUGGGUUAAGUCCCGCAACGAGCGCAACCCUCGUUCUAUGUUGCCAGCACGUAAUGGUGGGAACUCAUGGGAAACUGCGGGGUCAACUCGAGGAAGUGGGGGAUGACGUCAAAUCAUCAUGCCCCUUAUGUUCUGGGCUUCACGCAUGCUACAAUGNCCGGGUACAAGGCUGCAAUUA